rnacentral:rRNA from 1 species
UGCAGUCGAACGGAAGUCGUUAUAAAAAGGAUUGAGGAUUUAUCCGAUUGAGAUUUUAUAACAAUGGCUUUAGUGGCGGACUGGUGAGUAACGCGUGAGCAACCUGCCUACUAGAGGGGAAUAACAGUGAGAAAUCACUGCUAAUACCGCAUAUGCCAUGAACAUCACAUGAUGAAAAUGGGAAAAGAGUAAUCUGCUAGUAGAUGGGCUCGCGUCUGAUUAGAUAGUUGGUGGGGUAACGGCCUACCAAGUCGACGAUCAGUAGCCGGACUGAGAGGUUGAACGGCCACAUUGGGACUGAGAUACGGCCCAGACUCCUACGGGAGGCAGCAGUCGGGAAUAUUGCGCAAUGGAGGAAACUCUGACGCAGUGACGCCGCGUAUAGGAAGAAGGUUUUCGGAUUGUAAACUAUUGUCGUUAGGGAAGAUAAAAGACAGUACCUAAGGAGGAAGCUCCGGCUAACUACGUGCCAGCAGCCGCGGUAAUACGUAGGGAGCAAGCGUUAUCCGGAUUUAUUGGGUGUAAAGGGUGCGUAGACGGGUUAGCAAGUUAGUUGUGAAAGCCCUCGGCUUAACUGAGGAACUGCAACUAAAACUGUUAAUCUUGAGUGUUGGAGAGGAAAGUGGAAUUCCUAGUGUAGCGGUGAAAUGCGUAGAUAUUAGGAGGAACACCGGUGGCGAAGGCGACUUUCUGGACAAUAACUGACGUUGAGGCACGGAAGUGUGGGGAGCAAACAGGAUUAGAUACCCUGGUAGUCCACACCGUAAACGAUGGAUACUAGGUGUAGGGAAUUAUUUAAUUUUCUGUGCCGUCGCAAACGCAAUAAGUAUCCCACCU